rnacentral:rRNA from 1 species
GACGAACGCUGGCGGCGUGCUUAACACAUGCAAGUCGAGCGGUAAGGCCCUUUCGGGGGCACACGAGCGGCGAACGGGUGAGUAACACGUGGGUGACCUGCCUCUAGCUCUGGGAUAAGCCUGGGAAGCUGGGUCUAAUACCGGAUAUGACCUCGCGGUGCAUGUUGCGGGGUGGAAAGCCUUGUGCGGCUAGGGAUGGGCCCGCGGCCUAUCAGCUUGUUGGUGGGGUGAUGGCCUACCAAGGCGGCGACGGGUAGCCGGCCUGAGAGGGCGACCGGCCACACUGGGACUGAGACACGGCCCAGACUCCUACGGGAGGCAGCAGUGGGGAAUCUUGCGCAAUGGGCGAAAGCCUGACGCAGCGACGCCGCGUGAGGGAUGACGGCCU